rnacentral:rRNA from 1 species
AAAUGAAUUGACGGGGGCUCGCACAAGCGGUGGAUCAUGUGGCUUAAUUCGUCGAUAAGCGAAGAACCUUACCAAGACUAGAAACUAUACUGCACGCCUAGGGAAACCUAGGAAGCCUUCGAGGGUGUAUAGCAGGUGAUGCAUGGCCGUCGUCAGUUCGUGGCUUGAGCUGUUCCCUUAAGUGGGGAAACGAACGCAACCCUCGUUGUGUGUUAUAAGUAUCACACGAGACUGCUCCCUCACGGGAGAGGAAGGUGAGGAUGACGCCAGGUCAGCAUGUCCCUUGAUGUCUUGGGCUGCACACGUGAUACAAUGGGUGGUACAACGGGACGCAAUACAGUAAUGUGGAGCAAAUCCUAAUAAAACCAUCCUCAGUUCGGAUUGAGGGCUGCAACUCGCCCUCAUGAAGCCGGAAUCGCUAGUAAUCGCGGAUCAGCAACGCCGCGGUGAAUACGUUCCCGAGCCUUGUACACACCGCCCGU